rnacentral:rRNA from 1 species
UACAGAGGGGGCGAGCGUUGUCCGGAAUUAUUGGGCGUAAAGAGCUUGUAGGCGGUUUGUCGCGUCUGCCGUGAAAGUCCGGGGCUCAACUCCGGAUCUGCGGUGGGUACGGGCAGACUAGAGUGAUGUAGGGGAGACUGGAAUUCCUGGUGUAGCGGUGAAAUGCGCAGAUAUCAGGAGGAACACCGAUGGCGAAGGCAGGUCUCUGGGCAUUAACUGACGCUGAGGAGCGAAAGCAUGGGGAGCGAACAGG